GGGCGAUUCCGCUGGAAACCAUCCAAGUGAGUGUAUGUGAGUGUAUGUAUGUAUGUAUGUACUUCUGUGUGCUGUGUAAGUCGAAUGGGGCCAUGCCGUACAACUGCGGGUUUCGCGAGACUAGCGGACGUGUAACUUCGCCACACGCGCUGAUGUAGUUUGCCCGCCUACUCCUUUCGGGCUAUACUGCAGUCAAACGUCGGCACGUGCCCCCGAAAGCCUUAAAAGCCUCAAAAGGCUUCGAAAGCCUUAAAAGGCUUCGAAAACUUCUUGAACCAUAUGUAUUCCUCUCCCAAAAAAACUUCCGCCUUCCCUUCCCGAAAUCCCCUUCCCCCCCGAAACCAGAUCCAGUACUGGUUCCAGGGCCCGGACGAAUCCUGGAUCCCACCGGGCGCCGCCACGGGCAGCAGCAGCGCCGCCACGGG
rnacentral:lncRNA from 1 species